UACGGAGGGUGCAAGCGUUAUCCGGAUUCACUGGGUUUAAAGGGUGCGUAGGCGGGUUGGUAAGUCAGUGGUGAAAUCUUCAAGCUUAACUUGGAACUGCCGUUGAUACUAUCAAUCUUGAAUGUUGUGGAGGUAAGCGGAAUAUGUCAUGUAGCGGUGAAAUGCUUAGAUAUGACAUAGAACACCGAUAGCGAAGGCAGCUUGCUACACAAUAAUUACGCUGAGGCACGAAAGCGUGGGGGAUCAAACCAGG
rnacentral:rRNA from 1 species